CCUACGGGAGGCAGCAGUGAGGAAUAUUGGUCAAUGGACGAGAGUCUGAACCAGCCAAGUAGCGUGAAGGAUGACUGCCCUAUGGGUUGUAAACUUCUUUUAUAUGGGAAUAAAAUGUUCCACGUGUGGGAUUUUGUAUGUACCAUAUGAAUAAGGAUCGGCUAACUCCGUGCCAGCAGCCGCGGUAAUACGGAGGAUCCGAGCGUUAUCCGGAUUUAUUGGGUUUAAAGGGGGCGUAGGUGGCGUUUUAAGUCAGUUGUGAAAGUUUGUGGCUCAACCGUAAAAUUGCAGUUGAAACUGGGAGUCUUGAGUAUAGUAGAGGUGGGCGGAAUGCGUGGUGUAGCGGUGAAAUGCUUAGAUAUCACGAAGAACCCCGAUUGCGAAGGCAGCUUACUGGACCACAACUGACACUGAGGCUCGAAAGUGUGGGGAUCAAACAGGAUUAGAUACCCGUGUAGUC
rnacentral:rRNA from 1 species